AUGUUAUAUGAAAGAAGAGAAGGUUAGUUCUCUUAACAAGGACAGACUGCCCUCCAGGCCUAAACACAUAUACAGUUAAGGCAGUGCCAUCUACUCUGAGGCAACUUAACCAAAUUUUUAU